AUUGAACGCUGGCGGCAGGCCUAACACAUGCAAGUCGAACGGUAACAGGAAGCAGCUUGCUGCUUUGCUGACGAGUGGCGGACGGGUGAGUAGUGUCUGGGAAACUGCCUGAUGGAGGGGGAUAACUACUGGAAACGGUAGCUAAUACCGCAUAACGUCGCAAGACCAAAGAGGGGGACCUUCGGGCCUCUUGCCAUCGGAUGUGCCCAGAUGGGAUUAGCUAGUAGGUGGGGUAACGGCUCACCUAGGCGACGACCCCUAGCUGGUCUGAGAGGAUGACCAGCCACACUGGAACUGAGACACGGUCCAGACUCCCACGGGAGGCAGCAGUGGGGAAUAUUGCACAAUGGGCGCAAGCCUGAUGCAGCCAUGCCGCGUGUAUGAAGAAGGCCUUCGGGUUGUAAAGUACUUUCAGCGGGGAGGAAGGGAGUAAAGUUAAUACCUUUGCUCAUUGACGUUACCCGCAGAAGAAGCACCGGCUAACUCCGUG
rnacentral:rRNA from 1 species